rnacentral:rRNA from 1 species
AUUGAACGCUGGCGGCGUGCUUAACACAUGCAAGUCGAGCGGUAACGCGGGGCAACCCUGGCGACGAGCGGCGAACGGGUGCGUAAUGCAUGGGAAUCUGCCUGAUAGUGGGGAAUAACCCGGGGAAACUCGGGCUAAUGCCGCAUACGACCUACGGGUGAAAGCGGGGGACCGUAAGGCCUCGCGCUAUCGGAUGAGCCCAUGUCGGAUUAGCUAGUUGGUAGGGUAACGGCCUACCAAGGCUACGAUCCGUAGCUGGUCUGAGAGGACGGCCAGCCACACUGGGACUGAGACACGGCCCAGACUCCUACGGGAGGCAGCAGUGGGGAAUAUUGGACAAUGGGGGAAACCCUGAUCCAGCGACGCCGCGUGUGUGAAGAAGGCCUGCGGGUUGUAAAGCACUUUCGGUGGGAACGAAAUAUGCCGGGCCAAUACCCCCGGCAGGCUGACGUUACCCAAUGAAGAAGCACCGGCUAACUCUGUGCCAGCAGCCGCGGUAAU